UACGUAGGGUGCAAGCGUUAAUCGGAAUUACUGGGCGUAAAGCGUGCGCAGGCGGUUAUGUAAGACAGUUGUGAAAUCCCCGGGCUCAACCUGGGAACUGCAUCUGUGACUGCAUAGCUAGAGUACGGUAGAGGGGGAUGGAAUUCCGCGUGUAGCAGUGAAAUGCGUAGAUAUGCGGAGGAACACCGAUGGCGAAGGCAAUCCCCUGGACCUGUACUGACGCUCAUGCACGAAAGCGUGGGGAUCAAACAGG
rnacentral:rRNA from 1 species